UUAGGAUAUUGAUUCCAAACCCCUGCUUAGUUCAUGAAUGUCAGGGUAUGUAGAUUUAAUAGCUGUAAGCUGAUUGUAAGCAGAGGCAACCGGAAGCUGAUGCAAUGGGAAUGACGCAGCAGGAUUACUGCCACUUUAAGAAGCUGGGUAAGAAGCUGCCUAUAUAAGGGAAGCCAUUAGAGGGUGUCUCCCUUCUCCUCAUGUUCUCUUUCCUCGUCUAUCUCAUUGCUCUCCUUGUGUCAGUAACCGUAUGAUAAGCCCACCCUGUCAAAUUUUGACAUCUGCAAGCAGUAUUAACAUCCUUAUCGUCAACCAAUGGAAGAAAAUCUACACUUCUUUGUGUCUUCACACAAGCUCAUCCCCAGGGACAUCAAGCUGCCGAUCUGUAGGCCAAAGGUCAAGAGAUAAACAAGCAAGAUGUCUGAAGAAUGAAGCUUUCCAUUCAAGAUCGGCUGGUUCAAGGCUCAGCUCAGUUCAUGGCACAAGAGUGGAAUCAAGUGACUGAAUGGAGCUGUGUGUUUGCUGGCCAGAUGCCCUUCCUGACACCUAUGCAGUUUUUUGUCCCAACUCUGAAAGCUCAAACUGUCCACCGAGCUGCUGAUCCAGUUCUACAGAGGAAUUAUUGAGUCUGUCAUUUGUACCUCUAUAACUGCCUGGUUUGGUUCUGCAACCCAACAAGACAGACACAGACUUCAGAGGAUAAUUAGAACUGCAGAAAAAAACAAUUGCUACCAACCUGCCUUCCAUUGAGGACCUGUAUACUGCAUGUCAAAAAGAGAGCAGUGAAAAUAUUUAUAGACCCCUCACAUCCUGGACAUAAACUGUUUCAACUCCUACCCUCAAAACGACACUACAGAGCACUGCACACCAGAACAAUUAGACACAAAAACAGUUUCUUCCCGAAUGCCAUCACUCCGGGUGGAGCCCUAUUCUUGGCUUUACAUAUUCCCUAAGCGGGUAUUAUUCCUUCAUGCUUGUUAGACAUAUUUUUUUUACCUCCGACAAUUAGACACAAAAACAGUUUCUUCCCCAAUGCCAUCACUCUGCUAAACAAACAAUUCCCUCAACAGUGUCAAACUAUUUAUAAGUCUGCACUACUAUUAAUCCUUUCAUCGUUCCCACUACCCAUCUCCUUCCACUUAUGACUAUAUGACUGUAACUUUGUUGCUUGUACCUUAUGAUUUAUAUUGAUAUUGUUUCCUGAUUGCUUAUUUGUACCCUAUGACUAUCAUUAAGUGUUGUACCUUAUGAUUCUUGAUGAAGGUAUCUUUUCUUUUAUGUACACUGAGAGCAUAUGCACCAAGACAAAUUCCUUGUGUGUCCAAUCACACUUGGCCAAUAAAAAAUUCUAUUCUAUUCUAAAACAGGUUGUUAAGGGAGCAGAUGACCUACAUUUUCUGAGUGAGGGAAUGAGUAAAAGAGUGAGAGAAUGAAUGAAUGAAUGCAUGCAUGCAUUUUAGACUAGUACAGAACAAAUCACAGCACUCUUCUUCAUGACACCCUUUCAGGUUCUUGAAGAGUAAUAUCAUACCCCUCUCAAUUAUGUUUUUCAAGUUCAUUUUCAUGUGUUCCGCUCAAUAUCCUUCCUUCCUUCCUUCCUUCCUUCCUUCUUUCCUUCCUUCCUUCCUUCCUUCCUUCCUUCCUUCCUU